CUUCUCUGCAACCACUUCAGCAACAUUGACUCAGAGCACACUCUAUUAAGCUCAUCUGCAGUUCUCCAGAAACUAUGUACAGCUUCAGAAACAUGAUUUCUUCCUACUUCUUAUUAAUCUCAUGAACUACACAUCUUCCAGGCAGAAGAGCCAGUCAAGAAUAAGAUGCAUGAAACCCAUUCCUUUCAGCAUGACCUAAAGUACACUCUGAGAGUUCAAGAGGAAGUAAUCACUAUACUCCCCAUGCUCACUGGGACAACGACAGUGACUACAACUGGAAGGAUAUGCAAGAGAAGGGCUUCUUCCAUUUUCACCUGCCACAAUCCUUGCAGUGGCAAAUCCAUAUUUGGAAUCCUGUCGGGCCUCAUCCUGCCUGCUCUCUCGGACGGCAAGUAGCACCUGCCCUGCAAUUCAUCACAUCGACUGCAGUGGCAGAGCUAAUACGAGCAAUAACGCGAGGUGCAGUGGGAAUGAGAGCUCCUGAGGACGGCGCUCGGGG
rnacentral:lncRNA from 1 species